rnacentral:rRNA from 1 species
AACGAACGCUGGCGGCAUGCCUAACACAUGCAAGUCGAACGAGACCUUCGGGUCUAGUGGCGCACGGGUGCGUAACGCGUGGGAACCUGCCUUUAGGUUCGGAAUAACUCAGAGAAAUUUGAGCUAAUACCGGAUGAUGUCUUCGGACCAAAGAUUUAUCGCCUUUAGAUGGGCCCGCGUUGGAUUAGCUAGUUGGUGGGGUAAAGGCCUACCAAGGCGACGAUCCAUAGCUGGUCUGAGAGGAUGAUCAGCCACACUGGGACUGAGAAACGGCCCAGACUCCUGGGGAAGGGGGCGGUGGGUAAUAUUGACCAAUGGGGGAGGGCCUGAUCCCCCACGGCCGGGAGAGUGAUGAGGUUGUUAGGGUAAAAAAGCUUUUUAACCCGAGGUUAUAAUGACAGUACGGGAAGAAUAAGCUCCGGCUAACUCCGUG